rnacentral:rRNA from 1 species
CCCUUAGAUGUUCUGGGCCGCACGCGUGCUACACUGAGUGGAUCAGCGGGUCAGGUUGCGCGAAAGCGUUUCCUAAUCUUUAAAUCCGCUCGUGAUGGGGAUUGACGGUUGCAAUUUUCUGUCAUGAACGAGGAAUACCUUGUAAGCGCGGGUCAUCAUCCCGCGCUGAAUACGUCCCUGCCCUUUGUACACACCGCCCGUCGCUCCUACCGAUUGAGUGGUCCGGUGAGGCUUUGGGAUCUGAGCGGAAAGAGCGUUUCGCUGUUUCUGCUCGGAAAACUCAGUCGAACCUUAUCAUCUAGAGGAAGGAGAAGUCGUAACA